rnacentral:rRNA from 1 species
UAGGGAAUCUUCCACAAUGGACGCAAGUCUGAUGGAGCAACGCCGCGUGAGUGAAGAAGGUUUUCGGACCGUAAAGCUCUGUUGUUGGUGAAGAAGGAUAGAGGUAGUAACUGGCCUUUAUUUGACGGUAAUCAACCAGAAAGUCACGGCUAACUACGUGCCAGCAGCCGCGGUAACACGUAGGUGGCAAGCGUUGUCCGGAUUUAUUGGGCGUAAAGCGAGCGCAGGCGGAAGAAUAAGUCUGAUGUGAAAGCCCUCGGCUUAACCGAGGAAUUGCAUCGGAAACUGUUUUUCUUGAGUGCAGAAGAGGAGAGUAGAACUCCAUGUGUAGCGGUGGAAUGCGUAGAUAUAUGGAAGAAUACCAGUGGCGAAGGCGGCUCUCUGGUCUGCAACUGACGCUGAGGCUCGAAAGCAUGGGUAGCGAACAGGAUUAGAUACCCUUGGUAGUCCAUGCCGUAAACGAUGAGUGCUAAGUGUUGGGAGGCUUCCGCCUCUCAGUGCUGCAGCUAACGCACUAAGCACUCCGCCUGG